UGACUCGUCUUCAUGGGACUACCAGACAAGUAUCACAUGCAGGGGAACCACCACAAGCAUCAUCUCUCUUCCAUUAUGAAGUUGGUAGUUGUUCUGAUCCUACUCAGUCUGGCAGUGUCUACAAAUGCCCUCACGUGUGAAGAGUGUGACCAGACCUGUCCAUCACUAGUGUGUGAUGAGUUCUCCUUCCGACCAUGUGGCUGUUGUUCCGAGUGUUCCUUGAAGGUCGGCGAUCCCUGUGGAAGUUUCACACAAAGCUGCGAGAAGGCUCUCUGGUGCACGAAGAAAAGUCCGGGUAAAAUAGAAGCGUACCAGAAACCUCCAUUGUGGCUCAAUUUCACGGGGUUGUGCGCGCAGAUCGACAUCACUUCAACUCCCUGAUGACAGGAUUGAUGUUUGGGAAUCAUUCUGGGAUGUGACUACUGCGAAUAAAGAAUAUGAAACCUU